AUUUUGGUUUGUUUCAGUUUAACUUUAUUUAACUUUUUUACACAUAAAAUCAUGUAAUUAUGACCUUGAAUGCAGUCCUGGUCCUGAUCCGCAGGGUCACACAGGAGCCGUCUGUUCAAUCCAUUCUUUUCAGUUUACUACUACAACUAAGCAACUAAACCUUUAUGAAGGAGGCCUUAUUGUGCACCUUCAGUCUGAACAAGUCUGAUAACAGAUCCUGAAACAGACAAUUUAAUUCUAAAACCGUAAUGUUGAGUUUUACAGAAGGUCCAGGGAGGAGGUUGCUCCCACUCAUCCUGGGCACGAAUGUCUCAUUUUAAUCAUUUCUCUUUCUGGAUUAUACAACAUAUAUGUUCCAUCAUUUUAACAACAAGAACUAGGUGCUUCAUUUAGAAUUUAUUUGGGAUUUUCUCAGAUUCACACAGGUUCUAAUUAUACAAACAUCCCAAUAUUCAUACAAUAUCUGGUCAAUAGAUGGUUGCUCCUCAACCAUCUGCUUAUGGUUCUGUGUCCAGCUUUCAACCAUCCAGCUGUUGAUUUGAGAUAAAGUUAAGUCAUGUGGACCUGGUACUUAUUUUAUCCUCUUAGUGCAUUGCACCAGUACCACAGUCAGCCAAACAGCCCACAGCAUGGUGCUGCCCCCACCAUACUUGACAGAUGGUAAAGUGGUCCUAGGCUUAAAAGCUUCACCUUGACUCCUUGAAACAUACUUCUUGUCUUUGUGUCCAAACAGUUGAGAGACCAGUGGCCUCUGAGGUCCUUCUGGCUAUUCAAAAAUCACCUCAGGAAGCGGCCAUAUUCUGCACGGCAUCGAUGAAAAAUAUAGCCACCAGUGUGGGAUGACGAGGUGUUGUGGGUGUUGAGGUCAACACUAAUGCUUAGUCUUAGCAGCUUCGAUUGUCACAGCGUCGCCACAUCACUCCCUCGACCCGUGAAGCCGGCUCGAGUCGCAGAACUCUGCCGAUGCAGGGAUGUGAGCCGGGUUGACUUUAACCCCCCUGGGCACAUUGGUCCAAAACACAUGGAGAUGGCUAAAAGGCGCCUCAAUCCUGCCUUAAAGUGUUUUGUGGAAGAGGCUGCUGAAUCUAUGAGCUAACCUCUUAAAGAAGAUCAUAACAACCAGUGAAAACAGACUUUUUAUUAAUAAAUGCCAUUUAUCUUUAUUUGUUGAAGAAUAAAGUUUGCUCUGCUG